rnacentral:rRNA from 1 species
AUUGAACGCUGGCGGCAGGCCUAACACAUGCAAGUCGAGCGGAUGAAGGGAGCUUGCUCCUGGAUUCAGCGGCGGACGGGUGAGUAAUGCCUAGGAAUCUGCCUGGUAGUGGGGGAUAACGUCCGGAAACGGGCGCUAAUACCGCAUACGUCCUGAGGGAGAAAGUGGGGGAUCUUCGGACCUCACGCUAUCAGAUGAGCCUAGGUCGGAUUAGCUAGUUGGUGGGGUAAAGGCCUACCAAGCCGACGAUCCGUAACUGGUCUGAGAGGAUGAUCAGUCACAUUGGAACUGAGACACGGUCCAGACUCCUACGGGAGGCAGCAGUGGGGAAUAUUGGACAAUGGGCGAAAGCCUGAUACAGCCAGGCCGAGUGUGUGAAGAAGGUCUUCGGAUUGUAAAGCACUUUAAGUUGGGAGGAAGGGCAGUAAGUUAAUACCUUGCUGUUUUGACGGUACCAACAGAAUAAGCACCGGCUAACUUCGUG